GUAACACGUAUGUAACCUACCUUAGUCAGGGGGAUAGCCUCUCGAAAGAGAGAUUAAGACCGCAUAAUAUAUUGGAGUGGCAUCGCUUUAAUAUCAAAUAUUUAUAGGACUAAGAUGGGCAUGCGCAACAUUAGCUAGUUGGUGUGGUAACGGCAUACCAAGGCGACGAUGUUUAGGGGAUCUGAGAGGAUGACCCCCCACACUGGUACUGAGACACGGACCAGACUCCUACGGGAGGCAGCAGUAAGGAAUAUUGGUCAAUGGACGGAAGUCUGAACCAGCCAUGCCGCGUGCAGGAAGACGGCCCUAUGGGUUGUAAACUGCUUUUGCAGGGGAAUAAACCUUCGUAUGUAUACGAAGCUGAAUGUACUCUGAGAAUAAGGAUCGGCUAACUCCGUGCCAGCAGCCGCGGUAAUACGGAGGAUCCGAGCGUUAUCCGGAUUUAUUGGGUUUAAAGGGUGCGUAGGCGGCUUUUUAAGUCAGGGGUGAAAGACGGUAGCUUAACUAUCGCAGUGCCCUUGAUACUGAAGAGCUUGAAUGUAGUUGAGGUAGGCGGAAUGUGACAAGUAGCGGUGAAAUGCAUAGAUAUGUCACAGAACACCAAUUGCGAAGGCAGCUUACUAAGCUAUGAUUGACGCUGAGGCACGAAAGCGUGGGGAUCAAACAGGAUUAGAUACCCUGGUAGUCCACGCCCUAAACGAUGAACACUCGAUGUUGGCGAUAUACGGUCAGCGUCUAAGCGAAAGCGUUAAGUGUUCCACCUGGGGGAGUACGCCCCGCAAGGGGUGAAAC
rnacentral:rRNA from 1 species